AAAUGUAUUAAAGUCUGCCCCUCCUUCUAGGUUGAACCAUAUUCUAGCUUAUUACUCUAUUCUGGUAUUUAGAACAUAGAAAGUAUUCAAAAUAUGUUUAUUAUGUAAAUGAAUUUAUUUUCACUGUUUUAUGUUUGUAGAUGAAGAACCUGUGUCAUGUUAAGUGGCCAAAGUCAUACGUCGAAUUCUGCAAGUACCAGAUUUAGGCAGGCACCCUUGCAGAAGGCUGCUGAGCUCCGGGACAGCAGAAUAACACUAAUGAAGCUUAUAGUAUCUUCCCAGGACUGAAGGACUCCAAUCUGCAGAGAUAAUCACUUCAAGAUGGAAAGUCAGAACUGAAGAGAAAUUCAUGUGAAUGCGCA
rnacentral:lncRNA from 1 species